GGAAGAGGACACAGGUGAGGUGGAGGAGGCGUGGAACCGAGAACCCCUAUCCCCCUGAGCAGCUCUCCUGUUCCAUCUCCUCAGAUGGGACCUGGUUUCCUCUGCCACUUACAAAGGUUCAUACAUGCCUGAAAAACACCCCCAAGUCCACGUAAGAGUCUUACAUUAUACAUUCUCGCAUCAACAGGUCCUGUCCAUGUUGUUUUACAGAUAAGAUCACACGACACAAGAAAACAGCUUGCUUUUCAUGUCUAUACUUCUGCUGACGAACACCUCUCUCUGCACGCUCUUGUGUGCUUACCUGCUCAUUCCCAGGGAAGAGAUGCUGGGCAGUGAGGACACAGACAAUGCCAACAGAAUCCAAUCCGGAACAACGAACUCAUGAACUCCGAACAAGUGGUAACGGAAAGCUGAGUGCCUCCCAUGCUAGCCAGGCAGAUGGGAAAGUGACAAGGAUGCUGCCAAAGAGGUGACUUGGAAGAUUAACACCUCAGAUUUUCCAAGGGUAUCCCCUUACCUCAUAAUCUCUCAAAUAUUUGCCCCCAUAAUCUUACUGUAAAAGUCAAGUGAGAAAGGAUGGUGUAUAAACCCUGUAAGGGGAAGAGGUAUAAAGCUGGAAGACUUUAUACCAGAGUUUGUCUCUGGGCAAGAGAAGGGCUCUAGGCUAGGCACCACCACUGUGGAAGGCAGGAGGGCCCACUGAAAAAUGGGGGUUACAGGGAAAUCUACCUGCUGACUGUUGACACGCUGAGACUCCUGUCCUGCCAAGCCCUAGAACACCAGCAGCCUGGCCUGAACCCUUCAGCUGGGAGGUCAAGAAAAGCGUCCUUGGGCAACUUUGACCAGCUUAAGAGGAAAGAUGACAAGUCAAGUCGAGUUCCCCAAAGAAACAACCCAUGCUGACCACCCAAUGACAUCUACAGUCAGUCAGCUCCCACCUUGUCCCAAGAGCAGCCCGUCAGCUGAAGAGAAAACCACACGCUGAAGACAGAACUGAGAGGAGCCCCUCAGGCAGGCCCACCGGCCGCUCCUGAAGGAACGCAUGGUCUAUGCGGAGAAGAAGACACAACCGCCAGUAUUCUCAGGAUGGACACCACCUGGAUCCAAGAAACAAGAACAGGCCACUCCCCAAAGUGCUGAGAACCGGAGCUCUCAAGUUAAAAAUACAGGCUAAACCAUGUGAGAACUGCCGAUUUAUGACUUUCUGACCUACAUAAUAAAGCAUUUUCAUAUGUCUGAAAUGAAAAA